rnacentral:pre_miRNA from 2 species
GCGGUGAUGCCGAUGGUGCGAGCUGAAAAUGGGCUGCUACGUCAUCGUCGUCAUCGUUA